CUCCCCACAGGCUAAACAUUCUCAGUUUCCUCAAUAGUUCUUAACUAUUUCCAGAUCUCUCCUUCCUAGCAACACACUCCAUUUUGUUUUGUCCUGUUCAGUUUUGUUUUCUAAACGGUGCCUAGAACUAGGAGAGAAGGUGAAGAAACAGGAGGCCGAGAAAAGAUGGAAGCACAUAAAAUCAGACUGAAAACAGAGCUUGAAGAGCUAACAGGUGUAGGAGAAGGUCUGUGCAUAGAG
rnacentral:lncRNA from 1 species